AUGCAGAACCUGCCAUUAAUGCAGGGUAGACCCAUUAGAGAAGAUUGCAUUGUAGUGUUCAUAUUACCACCAUCAGCAUUUAGUCACAUGCCAACUACCUCGUUAAAUUCUUAUCUGAUUUUUCUCAACACCUUUUUAAUCAUUGAUGGAGUUGGUCACGGUAAUCACGCACUGUGGUCCUGUUGUUAUCAUGAUAUCAUUGAAGUUGGUUGUUGCUUGUAUUAG